rnacentral:tRNA from 4 species
GGACUCGUGGUCUAGUAGGCUAUGACGUCGCCUUGACAUGGCGGAGAUCAAGGGUUCGACUCCCUUCGGGUCCA